CGAGAGGGAGUUAGCAGUCAGCUGAGGAGGUGGCUCUUCCAGGUACAAGGUCAGCAACUUCCUUUGGGAACUCAGCCCCUCUGAGUGCUUUCUGGUGGUACAUGCUGAGUCACUCUUCAGGGUGCUGUGAGAGGAGGUCAGAACGCCCGACAUGGAUGUACUGACCAAUGAUGAUGUGCAUGUGAACUUCACUCAGGAAGAGUGGGCAUUGCUGAAUCCUUCUCAGAAGAGUCUUUACCACGGUGUAAUGCUGGAGACCGAUAGGAAUCUCAGCGCUAUAGGCUACAUUUGAGAAGACAAUACUACUGAAGGAUACUGUAAAAGUUCUAGAAGACAUGGAAGGUAUGAAAGAAGUUUUCCUGGAAAGCAGACUUUUGAUUUUAUUCAGUAUGGUAAUGGCUUUGCAGUUCAGAGUCAUACCCAAAGGCAUAAUGGAGAGAAGCCCUAUGAAGGUAACCUAUGUGGUAAAGCUUUUGUACAGAGUAAUAAUCUCAAAAGACAUAAAAGGACACAUAAUGGAGAAGAACCUGCUGAAUGUAACCAAUGUUGUAAAGACUUUGUAAGAAGCAGUGCUCUCCAAAAUCAUAAAGGAACACAUGCAGGAGAGAAACUCUGUGAAUGUAAUCAAUGUGGUAAAGCCUUUGCACGCAGCAGUACUCUCCAAAUACAUAUAAGAACUCAUACAAGAGACAAACCCUAUGAAUGUAACCAAUGUUGCAAAGCCUUUGCACGAAGAAAUAAUCUUCAAAUACAUAUAAGAACUCAUACAGGAGACAAACCCUAUGAAUGUAACCAAUGUGGCAAAGCCUUGGCAGACAGCAGUACUCUCUAAAAACAUAAAAGAACACACACAGGAGAGAAACCUUAUGAAUGUACUCAAUGUUGUAAAGCAUUUACAGACAGCAGCACUCUUCAAAAUCAUAAAAGAACACACAGAGCAGAGAAACCCUAAGAAUGUAAUCAAUGUUGUAAAGCCUUUGCAGGAAGCAGUAAUCUCCAAACCCAUAUAAGAACACAUACAGGAGAGAAACCAUAUGAACGUAACCAAUGUGGCAAAGCCUUUGCACAAAGGAGUAAUCUCAAAAGACAUUAAAGAACAUAUAAUUGAGAAAAACCUUAUAUAUUAACCAAUGUUGUAAACCCUUUGUAAAAAGUGGUGAUCACCAAAAAUAUAAAAGAAUGCAUACAGGAGAGAAACCCUAUGAAUGUAACCAAUAUGGGAAAGCCUUUGCAGGAAGUAGUAAUCUCUAAGAAUAAAAACGAAGACAUACUGGAGAGAAACCCUGUGAAUGGAACAAAUAUGCUACAGCCUUUGCACAAAAAGAGUCAUCUACAAAGACAACAGAAACCAUGCAGGAAUGAAACCCUUUAACUGUAACCAAUGUGCCAGAGCUUUUUCACAAAGCAGUGGUCUCUAAAAUCUUAAAAGUACACAUACAGGAGAGAAACUUUUUUGAACGCAUCCAGUGUGGUUUUAUAACAUUCUCACAAAGCAGUGACCUCCAAAUACAUAAACAAUCACGGCAGAGAAACCCAAUGAAUGUCUUAAAUGUUCCUAAGCCUUAGACAUCCCAAGCAUCUUCAAUUGUAUAACUGAAUAUGUACUAGAGAAAAAUGCUUGGACUGUAACUACUGUGGUAAAAUCUUUCCCAAAACAGUCAUUUCCUAGCCCAUAACAUAAUUCACCAUGCAUAGGAACCCUAUGAAUGUAAGAAAUGUGGCAUGCCUUUUGCAAAUCAUAGUACUUUGCAAGUAAAUAAAAGAAGACAUACUCAAUAGAAACCCAAUAAUAUAAUCAGUGUUAUUAUGCCUCUCUGUUUGAAUGAGCAAUCAUCGUUCAAAUACAUAAAAGAAGACAAACAAGAGGGACACCCUAUGAAUGUAAGCAAAGUGGUAACACCUUCGCAUAUCAGUCAUAUUCAAAGGCAAAAAAUAAAUCAUAAUUUAGAAAAAUGCUUUGAGUGUAUUUAAUGAAACCUUGUGAGUGCAUUUAGCCUGGUAAAACAAUCAUGUAUUUCUAUAGAUUUCACCAACAUGAAACGAUCCGUAUCAGAUAGUAACUAUGUGAAUAGAUUUAAUAUGGGGAGGUCUUUUCAAUUCUCACAUAUCAUCAUCAGGGCAAAAAAAAAAAGCUAUGAAGGCAUUGAAUAUGCUAAAGCCUUUGCACAUUUCUAAAGUCUUUAUCAUCAUGAAAAUAAUCAUGCUGUAAAGAUAUGAGUGUAAACAAUGUGGAAAAGCCUUUGUGCAAUAGGGUUCUCUCAAAUACAACACAACUCAAACACAGGUGAUGAAAAUGGCAGGGAUUUAUUGUAAUAAUGCUGCUCCUGGAUCAUGGACAGAAAAUGAACUCAAAGGGGUAGAUGCUUAUGUAGAUUAAAUGUCAACUGUUUUAGGAUGUGGGUGUUACAGUUUAGUCAAUGAUAUUCGUUUGUUAUUUGAUAUUAGAGUACUCGUGUUGUGUUUUGAGGAGCACAAGAUAAAUAGCCGGGGCAUUAUUAGAGACCGUCAUUAUGUUUUCAAAAACAAAAGAUGAGUAAAGGAAGGUGGCCACCAAAGGGAAGUCCACAACUCCUGUCUGCUUCGGAACGUGAACUUAGUUUCACCAGAUGAUUAAAGGAGGUUGACUAAAAAAGUGGGGUAUUCUUGGGGCUCGGGCUUGUUUCUUUGUUGCUUCUUCCCAAUUGGUGUGGAUUGGUUGUAAUGUCCUCUAGUGCUAAAUUGGUUCCCAAAUUACAUGAGAAUCCUGCAUUUGAGACCUGAGACUCCCUAUCCCCAGCAUGUUCUUAUUGGUGGAAUUAUAAGGUGCCAAUGUCUAGGCAACGACAGAGGGAUCACUUUUGAAUUCAAGAGCAAGGAGGAUCACCAAACCAGGAAACGAAUUGGAUGCAGGCUUGAGAGCUGAGAAAGACAGAGUACCCUCCAUGUAAGUGCCAGGGAGGAGGAGCCUCAGCGGUGUUGCCCCAAGUCGGUUUUGAGUAGCAAAGAUGUGAUAAAGAUUUUACUAAGCAAUCAAUCAGAACUGUCACAGAGGGGUAUGUUAGCAAUGUGCAAGUUUGGGAGUGGCCCAGGCAAUGAGAUGAUUUAUGCAUAUUAAAUACAGAUCUGUGUGUGCAUGUGUCCUUGUGGGCUUGGUUUGUAUGUGCGUGUGUAUGUGUGUGUGUGUGUGUGUGUGUGUGUGUGUAUCCUUCAUUUGAAAAUCCAUACCAUUGAUUGUUGUGGAUAUGUACAUAUUUUUUAAUGUUCUGUGGUUCUUCAGGUACCAAAUACUUCAAGAAUGUCAUCCAAGGAGAUUAUCUAAAGAUGCUAGAUAAUGUAAAAGAAAUAAGAUGAAUUUUUAAUAAAAUAUUUUGUGUGUGUUUGUGUGUGUGUGUGUGUGUGUGUGUGUGUUUUUACUGUGAUGUGGGUUAUUAAGGCAUGUAAGAUGUUGAGACUGAGAGACAAAAUUUUAGAUCCUCUUUAUACAGUGUUCGAACUUACGUUGUGAGUAUUACACACUGUAGACAUUUCCUAUUGCAAAUAAUAGAAAAACAACUGAGGGAUUUGAAUGUUCAUCCAUAUUAUGGCAGAUGUGCUUACUGAUACUAUGUUCUCUGUAUAAAUCUUGCAUUCCUUACUUCUUCAAUUCUCUAAUGAAAUCUGGCUGUUUCACCUCACAUGUCUUGAAAAUAUGGGUUUGGUGAACCUGGUGUUCAGUUCUUCUGUAAGUGGAAUUAUGGGCUUCCUUGUUAAUUCUUUUAUUGGUUACCCUAAGGCUGUCACCAUACCAUUUUGUUUGUUUGUUUUUUCUUUUUUCAUUUUUUUCAGAACUGGGGACUGAACCCAGGGCCUUGUGCUUGCUAGGCCAGUGCUCUAACACUGAGCUAAAUCCCCAACCCCUACCAUCCCAUUUUGUAUAGGGUGUGAUCUUCUCACAUUCCCCCAAUCAUGCACAAGUGCUUUGGUUUGUUCAAAGCCCAGAAGACUUGUUAGUUUGUCUCAACUACCAUAGAAAUGAAGAGGAUGUGAUGGAUCCUUAUAAUUGUCAACUUGGCACAAUCUGGCAUCACAGGAAGGAAAGUCUCAAGCAGGGAUCAUUUGAAUCAGGUUAGCAUGUGACUAUAUCUUUGGGAUAUUGUCAUAAUUGUAUUUCUUGAGGUGAAUACACUCACUAAGGUGAGUGCUUCCAUUUCCUAGGGACGCGCCCUGGUUGUGAAAGAUUUCAGAAAGAGAACUGUUCAUUAGCCCACAUAAUUUAAGCAAUCUCUCUCUUGUCUUUGGAUAGCUGUGUACUCUUGUAUCAAGCUCCUGAACCUGUGACAUCAUCCAAUAAUUGGAUAUAG